rnacentral:rRNA from 1 species
UACGGGGGGAGCAAGCGUUGUUCGGAUUUACUGGGCGUAAAGGGCGCGUAGGCGGCCACCGCAAGUCGACUGUGAAAUCUCUGGCUUACCCAGAAAGGUCAGCCGAUACUGCGGGGCUAGAGUGCAGAAGGGGCAACUGGAAUUCUCGGUGUAGCGGUGAAAUGCGUAGAUAUCGAGAGGAACACCUGCGGCGAAGGCGGGUUGCUGGGCUGACACUGACGCUGAGGCGCGAAAGCGUAGGGGAGCGAACGGG